CCCUAGGGCUCAUCUGAGACCUAAGAUGGCGGCGUUUGCAUAAUGUGAAAGCGAUGCAGGCGUACCAGAUUGGAGAGGCAGGCAAAGGAUGUAUCUGCUAAGGAAGGUUCGGGAACUCGCCAAUACUUGUGGCCUCUCUAUUCCCUGAAAAACAAUAAUGAAGUUAGGCCAGUGAAUACCCUACAGUGGUUCAAGUGAAAGGAGGAAAAAUCACACAUCUCUCACUUUAAAUCAAAGGUAGAUCACAUCCAAAAAAUAAAAUACCUAGAAUAAACCUACCAAAGGAGGCAAAAGACCUGUAUUCCAAAAACUCUUAAGAAGCUGAUGGAAUAAAUUGAAGAUGACACAAACAGAUGGAAGAAAUACCAUGUUCUUGGAUUGCAAGAAUCAGUAUUGUCAAAGUGACCAUACUGCCCAAGACAAUCUAAAUUUUCAGUGCAAUCCCUAUCAAAUUUAUCAAUGGCAUUUUUCUCAGAAGUGGAGCAAAAUUUUUAAAAAUUUUAUGGAAACAUAAAAGACCUUGAAUAGCCGAAACAAUCUUGAGAAAGAAGAGCAGAACUGGAGGAAUCGUGCUCCUUGACUUCAGACUAUACUACAAAGCUACAGUACUCAAAACAGAAUGAUAUUGGGGGGAUGGAACCAGACAUAUUAUAGAUCAAUGGAUAGAAAGCCCAGAAAUAAACCCAUGCCCUUUGGUCAAUUAAUCUACAACAAAGGAGGCAAGAACAUACAAUGGAAAAAAGACAGUCUCUUCAAUAAACCAUGCUGGGAAAAUUGGACAGCUACAUGUGAAAGAAUGGCACAAUGAAUUAAGUAUACAGUGUUGUCACUGCAGCAUCUCAGGUCACUGCUGUGGCGUGGGUUUGAUCCCUGGCCUGGGAACUUCUACAUGCCAUGGGUGUGGCCAAAAAGACAGCCCAAAUCCUCCCAAAUAACCAUGAGAUACCACUUCAUACUGUGCCUAUAAAAUGGAAAAUAACAAAUGUCAGUAAUGAUGUGGAAAAGUUAAAAUUUUUGUUCCUUUUGGAGUUCCUGUCAUGGCUCAGUGGUUAACGAAUCCAACUAGGAACCAUGAGGUUGUGGGUUUGACCCCUGGCCUCGCUCAGUGGGUUAAGGAUCCAGCGUUGCUGUGGCUGUGGUGUAGGCUGGUGGCUACAGCUCCGAUUCGACCCAUAGCCUGGGAACCUCCACAUGCUGCAAGUGUGGCCCUAAAAGCAAAAAAAAAAAUUGUUCUUUUUAUGGGGGACAUCAAAUAGUGAGGCUACUGUGAAGAACAGUAUUGUAUUUCCUAAAAAAUUUAAAUAUAGAAUUUUUGUGACCCCAAUUCCAUAUCAUGUAUAGUCCUAAGUUAAAGGAAUAUUAAUGUUCAAGUAAACAUUUUGUAUGGAAAUAUGUACAGCCACAACUAUUUGCCAUAGGCAAAGGGUGAAAUUGUUUCAAAUAUCCACGAGUAGAUGAAUGGCUAGAGAAAGUGGUAUAUUCAUAAAAUGCAGUAUUAUUCAUCCAUAAAUAGGAAUCAAUUACAGAUACAUAGUAUGUCAUGGAUGUUCAUCUUAAUCAUUGUGCUAAGUGAAAGAAACCAGACACAUAAGGGCCUUAUUCUAUUUACAUGGAAUAUGAAGAAGAGGUAAAUCAGUAGGGGCAAAGCAGAUUAGUGGUUGUCAGUGACUAGAGAGGGUACAGGGAAUGGAGAAUGGAGAAUUUUGACCAUAGUGAUGAUUGCACAAAGGCCCCUGAAUUGUAUUAAAAUGGUGAGUUUUAUGUAUGUGAAUUUUACCUCAUUUUUAAAAAUAAAGGAAUUAAUCAUUUAAAAAAAAAUACGUGGUGGGCAAGAUAUAGCUCCCUGGGUAUAGUUUAUUGACUCUUGGUAUUGUUUAUUCAUGGCUAUUUGCAUUGCAACAUAUUUAUUACAAAUAUUUUUUAAUGAGACAGUCUAAAGACAUAUUUAGAAUGUAGUAGGAUAUAAGUUGUCACAAAAUGCUGGCUUUCAAAAUUUAUAUACAAAUCAUUAGAAUCAAUAUGCUGUUAGCCCUGUAGAGGAUUGGCAAAGACUUGAGCAUGUCCCACAUAAACCACAGUUGUAGGUCCUCAAGUUUAUUUGGCAACAGAGAAACAGCAAAAAUUAUAAGCAGUCCUAAUGUAUACUUUCUAGAAUGGGUCCAAUAAAAUGGAUUGAGGAUUCUAAAUAUUGGUGAGUAUUUUACUAACCAGUAUCUUUUACACAGGGAUGGUGUGAGUAUAAUUGGGGAUAGUCACAUUGGAAAACUUUUCAUGAUACGCCAUAAUACUGAACAUGCUCAUAUUUUCUGACUUAGAAAUUUCACUACAGUGUAUAUGCUUAUCAAGAUUGAUGUGUAUAUGUUCCCUAAAGACAUGUUAAUGUCUGUAGCAUUAUUAUUCUUAAUGGCUGGCUCUAAGCUGGAAAACAUGCAAAUGACUGUCAACAGAAUAGACACAUCAAUGGUAGUGGUGUUUCCUUUUUGUGGAUUACUACACAUUAUUGAAAUAGAACAAACUGCAACUACAUGUUAUGCAGUUAUCUCCUAUUAUUUUCAGCAAAGCAGCAGAAUGUAUUAACCAAAAGUUGGAAUAGUGGUUCAUCUGGGUAAAAAUGUAAUUAAUUAUAGCAGUGCACAUGUCACUUUAAUGAUGCCAAUAAUUUUUUCAAGUUUGUUAAAUUAUUCUUUGUGUACGUAUAUAAUUUAUACAGUCUUCUGUGUAUCAUAUUUUAUAAUAUAAUAAAAAUAAAAUUUCACUCAAAUACCAAUUUUUGAGGAUCCUUCUCAGGAUGUAUGGGUAUACCUUGGAGAUAUUGUGGGUUCAGUUCCAGACAACCACAGUAAAGUAAAUAUCACAAUAAUUUGAGUUACAUGAGUUUUGUUGAUUUACUAGUGCACAUAAAAGUCAAGUUUGCACUGUACUGUAGUUUCUUCUGUACAAUAGCAUCAUGUCUAAAAAAAAAGUACAUACCUUAAUUUAAAAAUUUUUGGAGUUCCUGUCGUGGUGCAGUGGAAAUGAAUCCAACUAGGAACCAUGAGGUUGUGGGUUCGAUCCCUGGCCUCCACUCAGCUGGUUAAGGAUGUGGUGUUGCUGUGAACUGUGGUGUAGGUCGCAGACGUGACUCGGAUCUGGUGUUGCUGUGGCUGGCAUAGGUCAGCAGCUACUGCUCCAAUUAGACCCCUAGCCUGGGAACCUCCAUAUGCCAUGGGUGUGGCCCUAAAAAUGACAGAAAUGAAAAUUCAUUGCUGAAAAAUGCUAAGCAUCAUCUGAGCCUUUAUCAAGUUAGUCGUGACAUCAAAAAUUACUGAUCAUCAUAAAAAAUAUAAUUGCAAAAAAGUUUUAAGUAUAUACUUCUGAAGUUUCUCCUAAUGGCAUACAGCAAAUGAUGAAAUAUUUAAGAGUUUUCUUGAAACUGAAGAGCAAGAUUGUGUGACAUUCAAACUACCACUCACUCAUUCUUCCCAUUUCAACUCAUUAGGAUGACUCUACUCUAAGUAUUGGAGCCAAAAAUAAAAAUAUCUCUGUCUUUUAGCUAGCAGUUCAGGUCUGAAGUCCAGAAUGGGAUGAUGCCAAAAUUUCUUAUUCUCCAGCUCAGUUUUGUAGAUCCUCAGUUCCACACAAUUGCAGCUGACAGGAUGAAGAUUUAUUCCUCUCCUCCCCACUCAGACACAUUGAAUAGGAGCUCUUCCUCAGGCUUAGUAUCCUUAGAAUACUGAACCCCCUGUCUUCACCGUAGGUCAUUUGUACCUUUGAAGUUCCAUAUUAGGUGGGGCAAAUUGAGAACACAGCAAUCCCCCAGUUUAAUACUUAAAAAUCUGUAUUGUCACUUUGGGGAUAGGUUGUCACUAUCUCUCUAGCUCUUUGGAUCUGGGUGACAGAUUCUGUUAAGUAGGACAGGCAGAACAUAAGAAUAGAGAGCCCUGAAGCCCUCCCUAAUGCACCUACUUUUAUUUUAUUUUACUUUAUUAUUUUACUUUAUAUUUUUAUAACUGCACCUGAGGCACAUAAAAGUUCCUGGGCUAGGAGUUGAAUUGAAGCUAUAGCUGCAGGCCUAUGCCACAGUCACAGCAAUGUUGGAUAUGAGCUACAUCUGCAACCUCUGCCACAGCUUGCGGCAGUGCUGGAUCCUUAACCCACUGAGCAAGGCCGGGGAAUUGAACCUGCAUCCUUAUGGACACUAUGUUGGGUUCUUAACCCACAAUGGGAACUCCCUAAACUACCGUUAUUUUAAAGAGUAUGGUGACAUUGAAGCCUAUGGGCAAACCCCAAAAUGGUAGAUAUUUCAGUAGUAAGUAAUUAGAUAGCUGGUACUUCAUGAGUGCAACCUGCCUAACUGUAGGCUAGCUAAUUUUCCACAGAGAACCAUGAAAAGCAUUGAGAGCAUUCCUUUUGUCUGAACAAAUACUGGCAUCAGUCACUACCACUGCAGUGGGCCUGAAUUUAACUGUAUUAGGAUAUUUAGUAAUAUAUGUUAUAAAUCAUAAAAAAAGAACUUGUAUUUAGUGUAGCCAACAGCUCAAUUUGUUCAAGACUAGAGACCACUUGACUCCUUGUAUAUUUGUCAUUCCAGGAUAACUGGACAUUUCCAGGGCUAAACCCUCUGAGAAGCAAUAUCAUAAGCUUAACAUUGUGUGAGAAAUAGACUUCAGUAAGAGUCCAGUGAAUCACUAAACAUUAAAAAUUUAAUUGAUAACUACCAUCCCUGGAGUUGUGCUUAACUAGCCAAUAUUGCUACCAUCAUUUAUGUCUUUUUUCCAACUGCAAAAAAAAUUGAGACAUG
rnacentral:lncRNA from 1 species